UACGUAGGGGGCAAGCGUUGUCCGGAUUUACUGGGCGUAAAGCGCGCGUAGGCGGAUUUGCAAGUCGGGGGUGAAAGCCCGAGGCUCAACCUCGGAACUGCCCUCGAUACUGCAAAUCUCGAGUCCGAGAGAGGUGAGUGGAAUUCCUAGUGUAGAGGUGAAAUUCGUAGAUAUUAGGAAGAACACCAGUGGCGAAGGCGGCUCACUGGCUCGGUACUGACGCUGAGGCGCGAAAGCGUGGGGAGCAAACAGG
rnacentral:rRNA from 1 species